AGAUACCCUGUUACUUAUUCUAAGUUUCUUCGGAUUAAUAGUAUUAAUGAAAUUUAACGGAUUUGGCGGCAAGAUAGCUUUUUAGAGGAACCUGCCCUGUGAAUGAUGAACCACGAAAAUCUUACUCUUUUUAGGAAUCAGUUUGUAUACCGCUGUUGUCAGUCAGAUUUUUGAAGAUGUUUUCUCCUUUGGUAAAGCCAAUGACUUCAAGUAAAGGUGCAGCUUAUAAAAGAGAUAGAGGUGGGUUACAUUUAAUCGAAUAAAACGGAUUAAGAUCUGGAAGAGACUUAUGAAGGUGGAUUUAACUGUAAGAUUUAAUUAGAUCUGGUGAUAGCUCUAUCUUGUG
rnacentral:rRNA from 1 species